CUACGGGCUGCUCCAGUGGGGAAUAUUGGACAAUGGGGGAAACCCUGAUCCAGCAAUGCCGCGUGUGUGAAGAAGGCCUGCGGGUUGUAAAGCACUUUCGGUUGGGAGGACUGCUUCUAGCACUAAUAUUGUUGGAAGUUGACGUUACCUUCAGAAGAAGCACCGGCUAACUCCGUGCCAGCAGCCGCGGUAAUACGGAGGGCGCAAGCGUUAAUCGGAAUUACUGGGCGUAAAGCGCGCGUAGGCGGCUAGAUCAGUCGGGUGUGAAAGCCCCGGGCUUAACCUGGGAACUGCAUCCGAUACUGUCUAGCUAGAGUACAGGAGAGGAGAGUGGAAUUCCACAUGUAGCGGUGAAAUGCGUAGAUAUGUGGAGGAACACCAAUGGCGAAGGCAGCUCUCUGGCCUGAUACUGACGCUGAGGUGCGAAAGCGUGGGGAGCAAACAGGAUUAGAUACCCCCGUAGUC
rnacentral:rRNA from 1 species